GAUGAAGAACGUAGCGAAACGCGAUAGUUAAUGUGAAUUGCAGAAUUCAGUGAAUCAUCGAGUCUUUGAACGCACAUUGCGCCCAUUGGUAUUCCGUUGGGCAUGUCUGUUUGAGCGUCAUUACAACAGUUCAGCGUAAGCUGGUUAUGAGUUCUGUUUUUUUAAACAAAAAACAGGCUUUAAAAUGUAUGUUCUGCAGGUCGCUUUGCUAAACCCUAAACAUUAAAUACUGUUCUAGUGAAGCAUUUGCGACUCUGCCUGAAAAAAAACUUUUGUUAAAGUUUGACCUCAGAUCAAACAAGGAUACCCGCUGAACUUAAGCAUAUCAAUAAGCGGAGGA
rnacentral:misc_RNA from 1 species